CGCGUAGGCGGAUAUGAAAGUGUCAUGUGAAAUCCCCCGACUCAAUCGGGGAAUUGCUUGGCAAACUACAUAUCUUGAGGCAAGUAGGGGUGUGUGGAACUCUUGGUGGAGCGGUGGAAUGCGUAGAUAUCAAGAGGAACGCCGAAGGUGAAGACAGCACACUGGGCUUGUACUGACGCUGAGGCGCGAAAGCGUGGGGAGCAAACAGGAUUAGAUACCCUGGUAGUCC
rnacentral:rRNA from 1 species